UACGUAGGUGGCAAGCGUUGUCCGGAUUUACUGGGCGUAAAGAGCGCGCAGGCGGUCGUUCAAGUCGCGUGUGAAAGCCCCCGGCUCAACUGGGGAGGGUCACGCGAUACUGAUCGACUGGAAGGCAGGAGAGGGUAGUGGAAUUCCCGGUGUAGUGGUGAAAUGCGUAGAUAUCGGGAGGAACACCAGUGGCGAAGGCGGCGAUCUGGGCUGAUACUGACGCUGAGGUGCGAAAGCGUGGGGAGCAAACAGG
rnacentral:rRNA from 1 species